UUAAGCGACUAAGCGUACACGGUGGAUGCCCUGGCAGUCAGAGGCGAUGAAGGACGUGCUAAUCUGCGAUAAGCGUCGGUAAGGUGAUAUGAACCGUUAUAACCGGCGAUUUCCGAAUGGGGAAACCCAGUGUGAUUCGUCACACUAUCAUUAACUGAAUCCAUAGGUUAAUGAGGCGAACCGGGGGAACUGAAACAUCUAAGUACCCCGAGGAAAAGAAAUCAACCGAGAUUCCCCCAGUAGCGGCGAGCGAACGGGGAGCAGCCCAGAGCCUGAAUCAGUGUGUGUGUUAGUGGAAGCGUCUGGAAAGGCGCGCGAUACAGGGUGACAGCCCCGUACACAAAAAUGCACAUGCUGUGAGCUCGAUGAGUAGGGCGGGACACGUGGUAUCCUGUCUGAAUAUGGGGGGACCAUCCUCCAAGGCUAAAUACUCCUGACUGACCGAUAGUGAACCAGUACCGUGAGGGAAAGGCGAAAAGAACCCCGGCGAGGGGAGUGAAAAAGAACCUGAAACCGUGUACGUACAAGCAGUGGGAGCCUCUUCGGGGUGACUGCGUACCUUUUGUAUAAUGGGUCAGCGACUUAUAUUCUGUAGCAAGGUUAACCGAAUAGGGGAGCCGAAGGGAAACCGAGUCUUAACUGGGCGUUAAGUUGCAGGGUAUAGACCCGAAACCCGGUGAUCUAGCCAUGGGCAGGUUGAAGGUUGGGUAACACUAACUGGAGGACCGAACCGACUAAUGUUGAAAAAUUAGCGGAUGACUUGUGGCUGGGGGUGAAAGGCCAAUCAAACCGGGAGAUAGCUGGUUCUCCCCGAAAGCUAUUUAGGUAGCGCCUCGUGAAUUCAUCUCCGGGGGUAGAGCACUGUUUCGGCAAGGGGGUCAUCCCGACUUACCAACCCGAUGCAAACUGCGAAUACCGGAGAAUGUUAUCACGGGAGACACACGGCGGGUGCUAACGUCCGUCGUGAAGAGGGAAACAACCCAGACCGCCAGCUAAGGUCCCAAAGUCAUGGUUAAGUGGGAAACGAUGUGGGAAGGCCCAGACAGCCAGGAUGUUGGCUUAGAAGCAGCCAUCAUUUAAAGAAAGCGUAAUAGCUCACUGGUCGAGUCGGCCUGCGCGGAAGAUGUAACGGGGCUAAACCAUGCACCGAAGCUGCGGCAGCGACACUAUGUGUUGUUGGGUAGGGGAGCGUUCUGUAAGCCUGUGAAGGUGUACUGUGAGGUAUGCUGGAGGUAUCAGAAGUGCGAAUGCUGACAUAAGUAACGAUAAAGCGGGUGAAAAGCCCGCUCGCCGGAAGACCAAGGGUUCCUGUCCAACGUUAAUCGGGGCAGGGUGAGUCGACCCCUAAGGCGAGGCCGAAAGGCGUAGUCGAUGGGAAACAGGUUAAUAUUCCUGUACUUGGUGUUACUGCGAAGGGGGGACGGAGAAGGCUAUGUUGGCCGGGCGACGGUUGUCCCGGUUUAAGCGUGUAGGCUGGUUUUCCAGGCAAAUCCGGAAAAUCAAGGCUGAGGCGUGAUGACGAGGCACUACGGUGCUGAAGCAACAAAUGCCCUGCUUCCAGGAAAAGCCUCUAAGCAUCAGGUAACAUCAAAUCGUACCCCAAACCGACACAGGUGGUCAGGUAGAGAAUACCAAGGCGCUUGAGAGAACUCGGGUGAAGGAACUAGGCAAAAUGGUGCCGUAACUUCGGGAGAAGGCACGCUGAUAUGUAGGUGAAGCGACUUGCUCGUGGAGCUGAAAUCAGUCGAAGAUACCAGCUGGCUGCAACUGUUUAUUAAAAACACAGCACUGUGCAAACACGAAAGUGGACGUAUACGGUGUGACGCCUGCCCGGUGCCGGAAGGUUAAUUGAUGGGGUUAGCGCAACGCGAAGCUCUUGAUCGAAGCCCCGGUAAACGGCGGCCGUAACUAUAACGGUCCUAAGGUAGCGAAAUUCCUUGUCGGGUAAGUUCCGACCUGCACGAAUGGCGUAAUGAUGGCCAGGCUGUCUCCACCCGAGACUCAGUGAAAUUGAACUCGCUGUGAAGAUGCAGUGUACCCGCGGCAAGACGGAAAGACCCCGUGAACCUUUACUAUAGCUUGACACUGAACAUUGAGCCUUGAUGUGUAGGAUAGGUGGGAGGCUUUGAAGUGUGGACGCCAGUCUGCAUGGAGCCGACCUUGAAAUACCACCCUUUAAUGUUUGAUGUUCUAACGUUGACCCGUGAUCCGGGUUGCGGACAGUGUCUGGUGGGUAGUUUGACUGGGGCGGUCUCCUCCUAAAGAGUAACGGAGGAGCACGAAGGUUGGCUAAUCCUGGUCGGACAUCAGGAGGUUAGUGCAAUGGCAUAAGCCAGCUUGACUGCGAGCGUGACGGCGCGAGCAGGUGCGAAAGCAGGUCAUAGUGAUCCGGUGGUUCUGAAUGGAAGGGCCAUCGCUCAACGGAUAAAAGGUACUCCGGGGAUAACAGGCUGAUACCGCCCAAGAGUUCAUAUCGACGGCGGUGUUUGGCACCUCGAUGUCGGCUCAUCACAUCCUGGGGCUGAAGUAGGUCCCAAGGGUAUGGCUGUUCGCCAUUUAAAGUGGUACGCGAGCUGGGUUUAGAACGUCGUGAGACAGUUCGGUCCCUAUCUGCCGUGGGCGCUGGAGAACUGAGGGGGGCUGCUCCUAGUACGAGAGGACCGGAGUGGACGCAUCACUGGUGUUCGGGUUGUCAUGCCAAUGGCACUGCCCGGUAGCUAAAUGCGGAAGAGAUAAGUGCUGAAAGCAUCUAAGCACGAAACUUGCCCCGAGAUGAGUUCUCCCUGACUCCUUGAGAGUCCUGAAGGAACGUUGAAGACGACGACGUUGAUAGGCCGGGUGUGUAAGCGCAGCGAUGCGUUGAGCUAACCGGUACUAAUGAACCGUGAGGCUUAACCU
rnacentral:rRNA from 1 species